AUUGAACGCUGGCGGCAGGCUUAACACAUGCAAGUCGAGCGGGGUGAUGGUGCUUGCACUAUCACUUAGCGGCGGACGGGUGAGUAAUGCUUAGGAAUCUGCCUAUUAGUGGGGGACAACAUCUCGAAAGGGAUGCUAAUACCGCAUACGUCCUACGGGAGAAAGCAGGGGAUCACUUGUGACCUUGCGCUAAUAGAUGAGCCUAAGUCGGAUUAGCUAGUUGGUGGGGUAAAGGCCUACCAAGGCGACGAUCUGUAGCGGGUCUGAGAGGAUGAGCCGCCACACUGGGACAGAGACAAGGCCAAGACUCCGACGGGAGGCAGCAGGGGGGAAUAUUGGAAAAUGGGGGGAACCCUGAUCCAGCCAUGCCGCGUGUGUGAAGAAGGCCUUAUGGUUGUAAAGCACUUUAAGCGAGGAGGAGGCUCUUUUGGUUAAUACCCAAGAUGAGUGGACGUUACUCGCAGAAUAAGCACCGGCUAACUCUGUGCCAGCCGCCGCCGUAA
rnacentral:rRNA from 1 species